rnacentral:rRNA from 1 species
GCGAGUGAAGCGGCAAAAGCUCAAAUUUGAAAUCUCCUUCGGGCGAGUUGUAAUUUGAAGAAGCGACUUUGGAGCCGGCUCUUGUCCAAGUUCCUUGGAACAGGACGUCACAGAGGGUGAGAAUCCCGUGCGAUGAGAGCCCUAACCGUGUAAAGCGUUUUCGACGAGUCGAGUUGUUUGGGAAUGCAGCUCUAAGUGGGUGGUAAAUUCCAUCUAAAGCUAAAUAUUGGCGAGAGACCGAUAGCGAACAAGUACAGUGAUGGAAAGAUGAAAAGAACUUUGAAAAGAGAGUGAAAAAGUACGUGAAAUUGUUGAAAGGGAAGGGCAUGAGAUUAGACAUGGGCCGCCUCGGUGGCCCGGGCCAGCAUGGGUUGGGGGGGAACGACAAACGCGGAGGAAUGUGGCUGUUCGCAGUGUUAUAGCCUCCGUCAUAGUGCCACCCCCGUCCAAGGACUGCUUACAGGAUGCUGGCAUAAUAAUCCCAUGCCGCCC